rnacentral:rRNA from 1 species
AGAGUUUGAUCCUGGCUCAGGACGAACGCUGGCGGCGUGCCUAACACAUGCAAGUCGAACGGAACUGUUUUGAAAGAUUUCUUCGGAAUGAAUUUGAUUUAGUUUAGUGGCGGACGGGUGAGUAACGCGUGAGUAACCUGCCUUCAAGAGGGGGAUAACAUUCUGAAAAGAAUGCUAAUACCGCAUGAUAUAUCGGAACCACAUGGUUCUGAUAUCAAAGAUUUUAUCGCUUGAAGAUGGACUCGCGUCCGAUUAGUUAGUUGGUGAGGUAACGGCUCACCAAGACCGCGAUCGGUAGCCGGACUGAGAGGUUGAACGGCCACAUUGGGACUGAGACACGGCCCAGACUCCUACGGGAGGCAGCAGUGGGGGAUAUUGCGCAAUGGGGGCAACCCUGACGCAGCAACGCCGCGUGAAGGAUGAAGGUUUUCGGAUUGUAAACUUCUUUUAUUAAGGACGAAAAUUGACGGUACUUAAUGAAUAAGCUCCGGCUAACUACGUGCCAGCAGCCGCGGUAAUACGUAGGGAGCAAGCGUUGUCCGGAUUUACUGGGUGUAAAGGGUGCGUAGGCGGCUUUGCAAGUCAGAUGUGAAAUCUAUGGGCUCAACCCAUAAACUGCAUUUGAAACUGUAGAGCUUGAGUGAAGUAGAGGCAGGCGGAAUUCCCCGUGUAGCGGUGAAAUGCGUAGAGAUGGGGAGGAACACCAGUGGCGAAGGCGGCCUGCUGGGCUUUAACUGACGCUGAGGCACGAAAGCGUGGGUAGCAAACAGGAUUAGAUACCCUGGUAGUCCACGCUGUAAACG